rnacentral:rRNA from 1 species
UACAGAGGUGCCGAGCGUUAGGCGGAAUCACUGGGCUUAAAGCGUGUGUAGGCGGACCGUUAAGUACCUUGUGAAAUCCCACGGCUCAACCGUGGAACGGCUGGGUAUACUGGCGGUCUUGAGGCACCUAGGGGCAGAUGGAACAGACGGUGGAGCGGUGAAAUGCGUAGAUAUCGUCUGGAACGCCAAUGGUGAAAACAGUCUGCUGGGGGUGUGCUGACGCUGAGACACGAAAGCCAGGGGAGCAAACGGG